rnacentral:snRNA from 1 species
UCACUCUGGUUUCCCUUCAAAACGCAAAAAUCUUUCGCCUUUUACUAAAGAUUUCCGUGGAGGGGAACACUCAAAUGAGUCUACAAAUUGUUUUUGAACGCCUUCGCUUCGGCGGAGCU